rnacentral:tRNA from 1 species
UUAAUUGAAACCAAAUUUCUAGAGGUUUUUCACUGUUAAUGAUUAAAUUGAUUUAAAAAAUCCAAUUAAA